ACUGUUUCCGAGGGGCGCCGGUUGUCCGGCUGAGAUCGUGUAAGGAGCGCGAGCACCCUUAGAACCUGAUCCGGGUCAUGCCGGCGAAGGGACGGGCAAACCAGGUGGC
rfam:Hyphomicrobium denitrificans ATCC 51888, complete genome.